AUUGAACGCUGGCGGCGUGCUUUACACAUGCAAGUCGAACGGUAACAGGGUGCUUGCACCGCUGACGAGUGGCGAACGGGUGAGUAAUGCGUCGGAACGUGCCGAGUAGUGGGGGAUAACGCAGCGAAAGUUGUGCUAAUACCGCAUACGUACUGAGGUAGAAAGUGGGGGACCUUCGGGCCUCACGCUAUUCGAGCGGCCGACGUCUGAUUAGCUAGUAGGUGAGGUAAAGGCUCACCUAGGCGACGAUCAGUAGCGGGUCUGAGAGGAUGAUCCGCCACACUGGGAAUGAGACACGGCCCAGACUCCUACGGGAGGCAGCAGUGGGGAAUUUUGGACAAUGGGCGAAAGCCUGAUCCAGCCAUGCCGCGUGUCUGAAGAAGGCCUUCGGGUUGUAAAGGACUUUUGUCAGGGAGGAAAUCCCUAGUGCUAAUAACAUUGGGGGAUGACAGUACCUGAAGAAUAAGCACCGGCUAACUACGUGCCAGCCGCCGCGGUAA
rnacentral:rRNA from 1 species